GAGGCAAUAAACUCAAGGUGACAUCAGUGUCAUGGCAGAGUGAGUUGUUUCCUUUGUCUCUCCCUCCUAAGUUACAAUCAGUAGGACAUACAUUGACCAACAAAGGACUCC